GAACAUCCUGAGUAGUAAAUCCUUGUGCUUUAGGUUGUCAUUGGUAUUGUCCGGAAUGUUGAUUUAUCUGUAGAGUACUCAUUUCAGUUGGACUCAUAUAACCUGACAGUUCUUUACAAAGAAAGUGCCUUUUCAUACCUUACUAUAGAAAUUUUUACUAUUAAAAAUAAUUCAAUACCAGCUCACACAGUAAUCCUACUAGAAAGAAAAAAAUUCUAUACUCUUAUAAUGCAUUAAGAAUAUGCAAUCAUUCUAUAUAUGGUGUAAUAGGGGCCAGCAAAACUAUGCCAGCCACACAAAAGAAAACACCAAAAAUAUAAAUAUAGGUAAUAGUCUUACUAUACUAGCAUUGAUCAUGAUCUCCCUGAAUUCUGUUGCUCGAUGGUUUGCCGACUUGUAAACAAUCAAUUGGAGGUAGAGUAGGAGUAUACAACUCUCCGAACGUCUGCCAACAAUAUGGAUCAUACAUGUGGUAACGCUCUUGUAUUGGCUUUAAUUGGAUAUCCGUCAACGUCACGUCUUGGCAUGGCAUACUGUCACUGCAUGCUAGAUGCACUGGUUUUACUGUAUAUGUUCCUCUAAUUCUGUUGGAUAUCCGUCAACGUCACGUCUUGACAUGGCAUACUGUCACUGCAUGCUAGAUGCACUGGUUUUACUGUGUAUGUUCCUCUAAUUCUUUCAAAGUUGAUUCCUG
rnacentral:lncRNA from 1 species